rnacentral:misc_RNA from 1 species
AAGCGUUUCCGCUGUGGUGCGCCGGGCUCUCAGCCUGUGGUGCGCCACGCGAAACCCCACCCUUGACUAUUCGACCACUUGUUGCUUUGGCGGGCCCGCCGCAAGGCCGCCGGGAGCUUCGGCUUCUGGCCCGUGUCCGCCAGAGACAAUUUGAACCCUUUUGUGAAAUUGACUGUCUGAGUUUAUGAUUAAAUCAUUA